rnacentral:lncRNA from 1 species
GGGCAGAGUAGCACUCCAUUGUGUGUAAACACACUUUCUCCAUCUAUUCAUCUACUGAUGGACACACAGGCUGCUUCCACGAUUCAGCUAUUUCAAAUCGCGCUGCUAUGAACGUGAGUAUGCUUGGAUCGCUGUAAAAUGACGUCUUUAACGCUUCUGGGAGGACACCGAGAAGGGGAAGAGCCAGGACAAACGAAUUUCUAGUUUUAGUUUUGCUGAGGAAUCAUCUCCUAGUGGCUGUUCUAGUUCACGGUCCUGGCAACAGUGUAAAAGCGGCCCUGCUCGGCUCCUCCAGCGGUGACUUGAUCUCUUCCUGGAGGCCAUUCUUUCUCGGUAAGAUGGCGCCUCGGCGUCAUUUUAAUUUGCGUUUCUCUGAUGGCCAGCGAUGUUGGCAACUCCAACCGUUUUUUAAAGCAAACUAGAGCCACUGACAAUGGGGGAGAAGAGACAGCGGAGGGACAGACCCUCGCACACACAAACACAUGGUCUACGACAGCAGAGCGCUACUCGGAGAGACCAGGGCCUUGGUGAGCUGGUGGGCCGCACAGAGAAACCUUCCCUCCCACCCGAUUCUAGUCACAAAAAUUAACUCUGAGAAACUUUCCGGGGUGGGGAGGAGGAAAUCUUUCUGACCUCAGAGUAGCAGUACGUCUUAAGACAGAUGUAAACCCCGAGAAAUGGGUACACACUCGGCCACUACAGCUGAGGCGUCUGCCAUCAAGGCACAGCGGGGGAGAGAACAGGCCGUGCGGGGAGGAAGAGACCACGUCAGCCCUGGGCCGGCAAGAGGGAGAGGCGGCGACCAGUGGGAGGCCCGGCCUCUACCGUCCAGGAGCGCAGGGAGCCACUGCAGGCCGCCAGACCAACCUCACCUGGAGACGCGCACCGCCGGUGUGGGGGAAGCAUCCCUACAGCACACUACCUCGGAGUUCAGAUGAAGACACCCUACCUUCGCCAUCGCGGAAAAACCUCGGAACUGCACCGGCGCCACGCCCUCGGGGCUCUCACCCAGCAGGCUGGUCUGGUAAGACCACCGAGGGCCAGCCAUGUGCCCAGAUGUCCCUUCCUUUGCUCCCGUCCCCCUCUCCCCCGCAGGAUCCACUCUGACCUGGCUCCUCCCCCGGAGUCCCCCGGAGCAGCCAAGGUCCUGCCCUCUGCACCCCGGGACCAUGGUUGGGGUGGCCAUGGCCAGGCACUGCAGGGACCUCAGGGAUAUCAGCUGCUGCCCGGCUGCACAGAGCGACCUCCACGCCCCCCGCCUCAUGGGCAGCUGUCCCAGGGCACAGCCUGGGGCCACCAGCUUCCUCCUGAGGCUGUGCACAGGCAGGCGUGGGACAAGCAGAAUCUUCCAGAAACAGAGCUGAGCACAGGCAGGGAGGUGCCGGCAGGUGUGCUGUAGCAGUCCACCUUUCAGAUGCGGGUGGAGAGGGCAGGUGCUGUCCCUGCCAUUCCUCUUCCGGCACAGUGACCCUCGUGGGCCUGUUGGUCUCGGUUGAGCUUCGAGACCUUGUCUUUUCUUAUUUCAAGGGUGGAGGCUCAAGGCCCACGACCUGCUGUGGACUCCCCUCACCGCCCCUCACUGUCCUGGGAAAGUGCACGCAGCUGCGGUGGUCCCCCGGCGCCUGGGCCUCAGCCCCGCUGGCCUUGCAGUCACCUGAGGCCACGUCGCUCUCAUUAAAAGAAUUUUUAAAAAUUUUAGUUUUGUCUGUGAGGGAAUUUUCCUGGCAAAUCACAGAAAAUGGAAACACAAGGUGAAUGUCUCCUGUCCCUUCCCCACGGCACUCACUGAGGUCCUGGCUACUUCCGGUGUGCCGUGUCCCUCGGUGUUGUUCUACACAUUCACACAUGCACACUGCACACUGGACAACAGGUUAUUUAAAGGACUAAAGAUUUUACUCAAGAAACAUCAAUAAAUUUGUAUUUUUACUUUCUUUUCUGUUUUGUUUUUUUUCUUUUUUUGAGUCUGGAUCUGCAGCUGGCCUCAAAUUUGCAAUCCUCCUGUCUCAGCCUCCCAAGUGCAUUUAUGUAUAUUUCUGCAUUUCUGUGUCCUUCAUGUCCCCUGUCCCUGAUAGACACUCUGCUUCCUGUGACACUGGCGCCACCGUGCCGGGACUCAGGUAUGAAGAAGUGUGACUGGGGGACUUUGAGACAGGACCUCACACAUAGUUCAGGCUGGCCUAGAACUCAGGGCGAUUCUCUUGCUCUGCCUCCCAGUGCGGGGGUUACAGGCGUGUGCCAUGGCUCCCCACAAGAUGCAUAACUGUAAGAGGAAUCUGUACCUCAUAGAAUGCAGUCUGACUGCCUACCCAAGCCGAAAUCACCUCUGAUCACACUGAGAUUUAAUUCAAUCAGCCCACGAAGUCCUGUGGGUUCUGCUGUGUGAUAGACAGACAGUCUGCACACUGCGCUAGGUCGCUCUGGAGCCCCACGGACUCAGUGGAACAAGAGGGGUGGCUGUUAAGCUGCUGCUUUCAACCACAGGUGAGGGCCAGGCCUCAGAGCCAUGACCUUCCUCUGGUUCCGUUCUUCCCUCAGUUUCUGUCACCUGAACUGCCCUCAGGACUCCAGUGACAGCCACACAGGGACACUGCUACGGGCUGAGCUGCACUCGCUCAAAACCCUCAUGAGGAACCCUAACCCCAGAGCCUCAGGGCACAGCUGUAUUUGGAGAGUAAGUACAAAGGAGCUAAGCAAAUUCCAUG